rnacentral:rRNA from 1 species
GACGAACGCUGGCGGCGUGCUUAACACAUGCAAGUCGAACGGAAAGGCCCUGCUUGCAGGGUACUCGAGUGGCGAACGGGUGAGUAACACGUGUGUGAACUGCCCUGCACUUCGGGAUAAGCCUGGGGAACUGGGUCUAAUAUAGGAUAGGAGCCAUUUUUCGUGAGAUGGUUGGAAAGUUUUUUCGGUGUGGGAUGGGCUCGCGGCCUAUCAGCUUGUUGGUGGGGGAAUGGCCUACCAAGGCGGCGACGGGUAGCCGGCCUGGGAGGGUGGACGGCCACAUUGGGACUUAGGUUCCGCCCAGACCUCCACCGGGGGCAACAGGGGGGAAUAUUUCACAAAUGGGGCAAGCCCGAUUCAGCGACCCCGCGUUGCGGAUUACCGCCCUCCGGUUGUAAACUCCUUUCGCUAGGGACGAAGCUUUUUGUGACGGUACUUAGUUAAGAAGCACCGGCUAACUACGUG